CACAUUCUUUGCCAAACUGUGACUGCAGUUUAAUUUCGAUGAAUCAUGCAGCUAACAAGUUUCAUUAGGUCUUACAUGCUGAUGGUGUGCAAGAACGUAGCGCGCAUCUAACUCCAAUCUGUGCUGAAGUUGCUGGCAAAGGUCUGACAACUGUAGGCUCCUGUGAGGUGGAGAUCUCACAACCCACACCGGCCUUCCAUCAGCAAUGGCAUCCUCCUUAUCAGACAUCAGUUCCAGCGUUGCUGUCUGCCACAGUUCUCUCUCUGUAUCUGUUUGAAUGACCCUGGACCUGGACUCCAGCAACUGCAAAAAUACAUCACAAAUUUUAGCCACUGCCUUAAUGGAGUCCCUAAUCUGUAACUUUUGGCAGAGACUGUAUUUCCUCCGCAGUGUUUCAUAACUCAGAGUCUGCAUCUGCAAAAGACAUCUUUAAUUCCUCUAGCAGAUAAGUAAUCACUGCCUGAUUAUGAGGUGAAUAUAUUCUGUUGUGUGUCAAUAAUUACAUUUAAAAUUAUUACGCAAAAGCCCAUAAAUAGCAUGUAAGAAAAACAGCAGUCUUACCCAGUUUCUGGAUUGAAUUUAUGUGGGUUGUUUUCUGAGUUAUGGAGGCGCCUUACAGCUUCCUGUAACACAGAAUUUAAAAAGCUUUAAUACAUACACACAAACAUGCAUAUGAAAGAAAGAGUUUUCAAACAACAUCGCAUA
ensembl:lncRNA